rnacentral:rRNA from 1 species
CCUACGGGAGGCAGCAGUGGGGAAUAUUGGGCAAUGGACGCAAGUCUGACCCAGCAAUGCCGCGUGAAUGAAGAAGGUCUUCGGAUUGUAAAGCUCUUUAAUCAGUGACGAAGAGGAUGUCGGUACCUGAGGCAUAAGCCACGGCAAACUAUGUGACAGCAGCCGCGGUAAUACAUAGGUGGCAGGCGUUGUCCGGAAUGACUGGGCGUAAAGGGAGCGUAGGCGGGCUGUUAAGUUGGAAGUGAAAGUCCGGGGCUCAAGCCCGGAACUGCUUUCAAGACUGACGGACUUGAGUGUAGGAGGGGUAAGCGGAAUGCCAGGUGUAGCGGUGAAAUGCGUAGAUAUUAGGAGGAACACCGGUGGCGAAGGCGGCUUACUGGAUUAUAACUGACGCUGAGGCUCGAAAGCGUGGGUAGCAAACAGGAUUAGAUACCCGGGUAGUC